CCUACGGGUGGCAGCAGUGAGGAAUAUUGGUCAAUGGACGCAAGUCUGAACCAGCCAAGCCGCGUGCAGGAAGACGGCUCUGUGAGUUGUAAACUUCUUUUGUAAGGGGGUAAACACUGAUACGCGUACCUGUCUGAAAGUAUCUUACGAAUAAGGAUCGGCUAACUCCGUGCCAGCAGCCGCGGUAAUACGGAGGAUUCAAGCGUUAUCCGGAUUUAUUGGGUUUAAAGGGUGCGUAGGCGGUCGGAUAAGUUAGAGGUGAAAUCCCGUGGCUCAACUUCGGAAUUGCCGUUGAUACUGUCAGGCUAGAGAGUAGUAGAGGUAGGCGGAAUGUAGGGUGUAGCGGUGAAAUGCUUAGAGAUCAUACAGAACACCGAUUGCGAAGGCAGCUUACCAGGCUACUUCUGACGUUGAGGCACGAAAGCGUGGGGAGCAAACAGGAUUAGAUACCCGGGUAGUC
rnacentral:rRNA from 1 species